rnacentral:rRNA from 1 species
CUAACACAUGCAAGUCGAACGGUAGCACAGAGAGCUUGCUCUCGGGUGACGAGUGGCGGACGGGUGAGUAAUGUCUGGGAAACUGCCUGAUGGAGGGGGAUAACUACUGGAAACGGUAGCUAAUACCGCAUAACGUCGCAAGACCAAAGAGGGGGACCUUCGGGCCUCUUGCCAUCAGAUGUGCCCAGAUGGGAUUAGCUAGUAGGUGGGGUAACGGCUCACCUAGGCGACGAUCCCUAGCUGGUCUGAGAGGAUGACCAGCCACACUGGAACUGAGACACGGUCCAGACUCCUACGGGAGGCAGCAGUGGGGAAUAUUGCACAAUGGGCGCAAGCCUGAUGCAGCCAUGCCGCGUGUAUGAAGAAGGCCUUCGGGUUGUAAAGUACUUUCAGCGGGGAGGAAGGUGUUGUGGUUAAUAACCGCAGCAAUUGACGUUACCCGCAGAAGAAGCACCGGCUAACUCCGUGCCAGCAGCCGCGGUAAUACGGAGGGUGCAAGCGUUAAUCGGAAUUACUGGGCGUAAAGCGCACGCAGGCGGUCUGUCAAGUCGGAUGUGAAAUCCCCGGGCUCAACCUGGGAACUGCAUUCGAAA